CCGCUGGCCCAACCUGGUGUAGGGCGAAUAACCGCUACGCGGUUAUCCGCCGUUUCAGCCGCAUCGCGGCGAAUAACGCCUAUGGCGUUA
rnacentral:sRNA from 1 species